rnacentral:lncRNA from 1 species
UUGGUGUAUCUUCCCCAAAGGUAAAACGACUUCGUCUCGGCGGAUGUAGCACCACAAUCCGGCGAGCUCCGGCGAACUGAAUAAGGAUCGAAAACUGAGCUAGAGGUGGAAUGCAGAAUGCAGACUAUUUUGUGAGUUGUGAGUUGUGAGUUUUCAGAGUGAAUUCUAAAGCUCACCACACACCCAUAUUUAUAGGUGUUAAACCGAGUGUGAACGGAUCGGCAGUCAACUCCGGCGGCUGCGGUAGGUGGCCGCAAUCGUUGAACGCAGAAGUUGAAACAGUCAAUUCCGGCGGCUGCGGUAGGUGGCCGCAAUCGUUGAACGCAGAAGUUGAAACUGAUUUUCCCUCUUCAACAUCCAAACUUUGACAUACAAU